UCUAAAGGGGAAAACCGCCUCAAAUUUAUAUAUAUACGUAAAGUCCGUGAACAAUAAAAGAAGAAGAAGAGGGGGUUAGGAAGGAAAACAAAAAGUGAAGGAAAUAAACAAAAAAAAAAUAGUUUCGACCCUCCGGCUAUACCAAGAGUUGUAGAUCGAGAAAGGGAAGUUGUGUGUUUAUAAUAUGUUGUCAUCAGAGAGGGGUUGGGGUGUGACUACAAGGGUGGCUAGUACAUUGACACUGGCGCUACUGCUCAUGUUUGCUCCGACAGAAGCAAGUUUUCCUCCUACCCUGCUGUUGAAGGGAGGAAGAUCAACAUGGGGAAUCAAGCAUCCUCCGAAGUCCUCGGCAUUGGAAAUGUGAUCCUCAUGAUGAUGUCCGGCGUCACAAUCACCUUGAAGGAUGUGCUGCACGUCCCGGACAUUCACAAGAACCUAGUGUAAGGAUCAAUACUAGUUAAUAAGGGGUUUAAACUUGUAUUCGAGUCUGAUAGGUUUGCUUUACAAGUUUGGGAAGUCCCUCGGAAAAGGUUAUGUAACCGAUGGACUUUUCAAGCUUAGUGUGGCUACGUACCUUGUCCCAAAGCCUUUGGCUAAUAAUAAUAAAGCAUCUACUUCCUCUUA